GAGGAGAAAGCUCUUUGCUCAAUAGGCCAGGCGUCUCAAGGGGGCAAGGUCCGGAGUUUACAAAGGCAAAAAGAAACAAUUCUCUACAUUUAUUAUCGUUUUCCAACAGUCAAAAAUUAUAUUCAACAGGGGAACGCAGUAUUGACUUGAUUAUCUUGAACUAUACUGAUUGGAACAAAUUCAGUUUAUAUGUUGGCGUGUGUUUCUUUAAAAGAAAAGGCUCGGCAGCAUCCCGCAGGAUCUAUGCCAGGAAUAGCUUCUUUCUUUACAAUAAUAAAAUUCGUAGUAAAGUAAACUAAUAAAUUGAAUUCCUUAUGGUUAUACACUGUGUGGAUAAAUUUUAUUUUGUUGAUGACAGAGAAAAAAGGACUAAUCAUACGAGAGCGAGUGAAACUCAUUUGCCAAAAAUAAAAAAAUGCUUCACAAUAUCUCCAAAGAAAUUGAUAAGAAAAUUAUCCUUCACAUCCGAAACAGCGAGGACCCGUUGAACGAUUUCUGAUAGCCGUCCCAACUCAAUUUAGUCCUUCACGACUCGCCGCUUCCAGUACAUGUCACAACGACAAAUUAUAUUCCGUGGAACUUGGCCAGGGUGGAAACAUAGAGACUGAAAGGAAGCUGUCAAUUCAAAGGACCUUUGCUGCCGAUGUAUUGAGACACAUGAUCACUGAUAAACGCAUGACGAUAUUUCUCCAAUACAACUAUUCGCACUUUUUGUUAAACAGCCAUUUUCACUCGUUCUCAGCCUUCAUUCAUGCAUAUCACAGCUAUAUAAUGCUAUAAUUCAGCUAUAUACUAAAAUGACAAUACUAUUAAAUAAUAAUCUAAUGUAUAUAAAUGUGAUUUAAUAUUUUUAAUAACAAUAAACAACUAUUGUAGAUUACCUUUUUUUUCUUUUUUUUUUAAAUGCCAACUACCUUCUGCAAUUUUGAGUACUGAUUCUGAACUACUUGAUACAAGAAAAUUAGAUUAAUUCUAAAGUUUUAUGGCAUCUUAACUUUCAUAUAAUUAAUUUAUAAUUACUAGCAUAUCUCAAUCAUAUUGUGGAUCUCAAAAGUUAAGUUGAUUUAAUCUGUGUAUUGUUCCUAGUAUUUUUUAUUUAUUUAAUUUUUUUUUAAACCCAACUUAAUGUUUGAAAUCCUUUUUUUUUUUUUUUAUAAAGAAGCAUCAGAUAUAACUUUAAAGCUCCGUAAAAGCAGAAGGUUCUGGUGAAAACUGGGGUUUUAGUACUCAUUAAAAUAAAUUGAAUAUCAAACCGGAAAAGAGAUAAUAAAUGAAAAUUUUAUCUUUUCAUAUUAUCAACAGGAAAGCAUUAAUUUUUUUAACAAAAAUUUCUCACAAGUAAUAUCACAAUGUUCAAUUUUUGCUGACGUAUCACAAUCAGCACUUACAUUUUCAAACAUUAAAAAAUCACAAUGGACAUUGUUCAAGAAAUAUUUUUAAUUAUCAAACUGAGAGAGAUUCAGUUGUCUUUUUUCCUAAUUUUUUGGAGAGUCUGCUCUUUAUAGCUGCAUCGAUACAUGAUACAAUGUAUUAAGAGUUAUUAAUUUCUACAUAGCAUUCAUUACAAUAUAAUGGUUAAACAAAUUUAACUUUUAGUGCAAUUUUCACUUGUUAGUUGUGCUAAAGAUAUGACAUGCGUUUGUUAAUGUUCAAUUUGCUACGAAUUCGUUCAGUGGUAAACCCCAACUUUCUACCAAGUGAGAAUUGGUGAACUUACCCGAGACGUGGAAUUCCUCCGAAUAUUGUGAAAAUUGUGUGAGCACAGAGAAUAAAGAGAAAAGUUUUGUAGCUGUUAGUACAACACUCAAGCUUAAGACUAAUGUUACUUGAUUCUCAAAACUUAAUUUAAAAAAUAAAAUAAAAUAAAAACAGGUAACUCAAAGAUGACAACUUGCUUCACAGAAUUUAUUACUUCAAUUACAUUGUUUUCAAAUGUAAUAAAAAUCAAUAGAAAAGGAGAGAGACAACAGAAAAGGUUACAGCUCUCUUUUUUCCAUUUUUUUUAAAACUUUUUUAUUAACAAUAGUGCAAAGUGAUGUAUCACAGUGCCACUCCACUACCCACUCAUUGCAAAAUCGAAUUCACUGUAUUCAUAAGGAGAAAACAUGUUAGUCAAUUGGGUUACACACAAAGGUUUGUUACAAAAUGUGAAGCGCCCACAUAAAAAUAUACAUUUUUUCAAAUAUAUUUCAUACACAAUAUUUACUUAUGUAAUAUCUAAUUGUCAUCUAAGAUCACAUAAAUGUCACAUUGGCACAAUACCACCUAAUUUAUUUAUUUCUGAGACUAUUUAAUUAUCCUAAAUGUACAAAAAAAAUUAGAUAAAAGACUCGAAAUUUUAACAACUUUUUUUCGGGGGAGGGAGGAGGACAAACAGCAAAAUCUCUUCACAACCCUGUAGAGAAAAUGUAACUACUAGACAAACAGGAUGAUGAAUCGUACUAAUGCCGAUAAGACCAAUCCGCUUCUUCAGACAUCUUUUCAUACUAUUACAAUUCAGUUAAAAUUAUCUUUAGGAAUUUAGAGGGUGGAACGGUUAUGUACAAUGUCUGACAGGACGGAAACCACACCUUAUACACAUAAAUCAGAUUGUAUUGUCUUAAAAACAUUGUACAGUACAUUAAUUUUAUUUAGAAUAUUGUUUCUCUAGAUAUUUUUUAAAAAUUAUUAAAUGCUGAUAUGGAUAUAUUAUAUCCAUCACAGAUAAAAAUUUAUGUUUUAAUUACAUUAGGAUUUCUUUGACAAAAUUGACACUAUAUGUCACGUCACUGUACUGUAACAAAAUCAAGGAAAUAUUAAGAUUAUUUUCUAUUAUGCUAAUACUUUCUCAUUAUUUAUUUAUUCACAAUCAGUUACCUUCAUUUUUUGUAACAUUGUAUUAUUAAAGUAUUGAAAAAAUCUCACACACCAGAACUACAUUAAUUUUAAAAGCAAUAAGAAAUGUUUGUACUUUAAGGUAAAAAGUAUUCAGAAAAAAAUGAAAUAGCACAAUAAACUAACGCAGAAAAACUUCUAGUGGUGAAACAAUCAGACAAGAACAAAAAACAAUUUAUAUUCCACUCACAAGGUGAGACUGACAAAACAUCAGCGAGAAUUCAAAAACUGAGCAAUAAUAUGUUCAUCUACUUGUCUAUAUCUAUGUAACAAAUUAAUAUAUCUAAAGACAAACAAGUUAAAAAAAGAACAGAUUAACGUCUAAGAGUUAUCACAAGCGAUUUGAGACAUGGCUAAAACGCCCCAUCAACCCAGAUGAGACGUUCACAAACACAAGAUAUGAACACUCAAAUUACACCCAGUACCCUCAUUUUUUAAUUUAUCGCAGGAAAAAUAUGCAAGUUUCCCUCAGUUUAAAAACUUGAGCCAAUCAACAUUUUUAACCAGUUGUGUUUAGAAACACAUUAUAAUAUGAAUAUUAAUAAGAUCUAUGAAAAAGUGUUAUUUUAAUAUUGCAUAUUGUCAAUUUGAUUGAGUAAAUAGAACAAAAAGAAAGCAUCUUUAUAAGAAAAUAUGUAAACCUUUAGUUCUGUAAGUUUUUUUUUUUUUUU